rnacentral:misc_RNA from 1 species
CACAAAUUAAAAUAUGAAGGCUUCGGCUGGAUUAUUUUUAUCACCCUUGUCUUUUGCGCACUUGUUGUUUCCUGGGCGGGUUCGCCCGCCACCAGGACCACACCAUAAACCUUUUUUAUGCAGUUGCAAUCAGCGUCAGCAUAACAAAUGUAAAUCAUUUA